rnacentral:rRNA from 1 species
UACGUAGGGGGCUAGCGUUGUCCGGAAUCAUUGGGCGUAAAGAGCGUGUAGGCGGUCCGGUAAGUCCGCUGUGAAAGUCGGGGGCUCAACCCUCGAAUGCCGGUGGAUACUGUCGGGCUAGAGUGCGGAAGAGGCGAGUGGAAUUCCCGGUGUAGCGGUGAAAUGCGCAGAUAUCGGGAGGAACACCAAUGGCGAAGGCAGCUCGCUGGGACGGUACUGACGCUGAGGCGCGAAAGCGUGGGGAGCAAACAGGG